rnacentral:lncRNA from 1 species
CCUUUGGGAACAGGGACGGCACAAGAGGUGGCUCGUCUGGGUUCAAGAGAGAAAGAUAAAGCACCCACAUGAAGACCAAGUUGAACAUCUGGUGCAUAUGUGAGUGGAUGCCUAGAUACAGCCCAUAGAUGUCCUUUGGUGGGUGGUUCAGACUCUGAGAGCCCAAGGCUCCAGGUUAUGGUCCAUCAUCCAAGGAAAUCAUGUCAGAAACUCAAGGCAGAAGUUGAGGCCACGAAGAAACACAGCUUUUAUAGGACCUCCUGACUUCUUUCUUAUAUAACCUGGGACUGUUUGUCCAAUAGUGUCACCACUUACAAAGGGCUGAGUCUUCAAACAUAAGUCACUAUUUCUUAAAUCCCCAUAGCCUUGUCUACAGGCUCCAAUCUUAUGAAAGCAUUGUCUUAAUUAGCAUUCUUUUCUCCCUGACAUGUCUAGCAUUAUGUCAAGUUGACAAAAGAAAAACAAUCCCUCAGUAACUUUGCAUUUUUCCUUUACAAGUUUUUGUACAUUUGCCAUGGGGAGGAUUUAGUAAGGUCAUGACUGUAACAAGUGCCUUGUGUAUUUGAAAGUCUUCUUUUUUGAGAUUUGGGAAAUGUUCUUCUACAAUGGAAUUAAAGUCUGUAUUCUCUCUG